rnacentral:rRNA from 1 species
AACGAACGCUGGCGGCAGGCUUAACACAUGCAAGUCGAACGCACCUUUCGGGGUGAGUGGCAGACGGGUGAGUAACGCGUGGGAAUCUACCCUUCUCUACGGGAUAGCUCCGGGAAACUGGAAUUAAUACCGUAUACGUCCUGAGGGAGAAAGAUUUAUCGGGGAAGGAUGAGCCCGCGUUGGAUUAGCUAGUUGGUGGGGUAAAGGCCUACCAAGGCGACGAUCCAUAGCUGGUCUAAGAGGAUGAGCAGCCACAUUGGGACUGAGACACGGCCCAAACUCCUACGGGAGGCAGCAGUGGGGAAUAUUGGACAGUGGGCGCAAGCCUGAUCCAGCCAUGCCGCGUGAGUGAUGAAGGCCCUAGGGUUGUAAAGCUCUUUCAGUGGGGACGAUAAUGACGGUACCCACAGAAGAAGCCCCGGCUAACUUCGUG